rnacentral:lncRNA from 1 species
UAUUUUCCCAAAUAUAUUUUUUUUCCUCAUAAUACUUAUCCUUUCUACUCUAUUAUAGUUAUUUUUAUAAUCUGCCAUGCUUACAUUUGAAUACAAGCUCCAUGAAAAUAAGGAUCUUUGUCUAUUGUUCACUGGGCCUGGAAAAAAUAUCUGACAAAUAGUACAUGCUCAAUAACAUGUUGAAUACAUAUGUUUGUCUUAUUUGUGUAAUAAAGAAUAAUUUUAAAAUAAAAUUUAUUCAAAUGAACGAAGGCUAUAGGUAUCUAUGUAUUCAUAAUUGAAAGCUUUUAAUAAACAGUAUAUUUUGGGAGUUCCCAUUUGUGGCGCAGUAGAAAAUGAAUCAGAUUAGGAACCGAGAGGUUGCAGGUUUGAUCCCUGGCCUUGUUCAGUGGGUUAAGCAUCUGGCGUUGCUGUGAGCUGUGGUGUAGAUUGCAGACGUGGCUCAGAUCUGGCGUUGCUGUAACUGUGGUGCAGGCUGGCAGCUACAGCUCCGAUUAGACUCCUAGCCUGGGAACCUCCAGAUGCCGUGGGUACGGCCCUAAAAAGACAAAAAGACAAAAAAAUAAAUAAAUAAUUUAAAAAUCAACAGUAUAUUAUAUUUUGCUUUUAGUAAACCUUUCAUUGUUGUUAUAUUAGGAAAAAUAUUUCUAUAUUUUCCUAUUUAUCAGGACUGAGGUAGAUUUUAUUUUAUUUUCACUACAGGGAAAAAAAGCAAUCCAUUUUAUUUCUGUGGUUGCAUUUUCUAUGGCAGGCAGCACUGCAAGAGGAAAGAGCGAUAGCAAUUAGGGCUAAACAGCAGGGGCGUUUACCUCCACUGCUCCACACACGCCUUUACCUCGCAGAACCUCCUUUUCCACAUCUGUGAAAUGGGGAUGAUCCCUGCCUCACAGAGCUAGGAAGAUUAAAUAGGGUCAGCGCUAAUAUUUGCUGGGAGCUUAUGCCACACAGAGGGCUAUAUAUCAUGCCUGUUUUCCCAGCUUAGGAAACAGGGGCCAAAGGUUAUCCAACCAGUCGGGUAGCAAGGUCAGAGGGCUGUUUCCCAAACAGUAAGUUCAGGAUUCUUUCCCGUCCACGUUCCUAUUCCUUAUCUCUUUGGGAGAGGAUAAAGGGUGGACAGAGUGACUAGGGACAACUAAGUGGGCCCUGAGUCUUAACUCUUCCUUUAGCACAGCUCAGCCAAGGCCUUGGGGAUGUGCACUAUUGCCAUAUGGUGCAUGAACCUCCUCGGGGUAUCACAAAUCCGAGCGAGUCAGGGAGAAUUAACAAGAAUUUGGGGCACCUUCUGUCCCACCUCUUUCCUCUCCAUGUUGAUAAUUUUGCAAAAUAGAAUGCUUCUGCUUUUGAUUUUUCUUUUCAGGUCUCCGCUCAGUUAUUUCCACACCUGAAUUUCUCUCCCAUACUUACCUGCAUGCGCGCCUUAAUCCUCUCCUGCCCUUUAUUAACUCUCACCCAGUUACCUCAGGUCAGUCUUCUUUCUGACACUCUUUGUUGCAUCUGUAAACUCCAAAACAGUUCCAUUCUGGUUGAUAAGCACAGAAGGAGUAUUUGAAAUGUAUCUAAAUGAUGGGAAAGACCAGCUUUUCACUUUGAACUCUUCUAGGCUUAGUGAACAAUUUGGUGGCCUACCCUAGCUGGGGAUCAGAUGACCCUUUCCGAAUCUUCUCCAAGGGUUCACUGACCUCUGUAUUUAAACCAAUGGAGCUGUGGUGUACAGUGCUUAAAGUGGCUGUGGGCUGGCCCAAGUCCCAGUUCUAUGAGUUAGUAGCUGCGUGACUUUGGGCAGCUAUUUAACCCUUAACCCACUUUCUUCAUCUGCAAUGUGGGAUCAUAACAAAAUCUACUUCCUAGGGUUACUGUGAGGAUUAGAUGGGUUUGAUUCAUUUAAAUCACUUAGAAUGGCUUCUGAGACAGAGUAAGAGUGAAAUAAACAUGCAUUGCUGAUACUUCCUCAAACACAAAUAUUUUGAGAAUUUUUUUUUUAUUCCUUACUCUUUAAAUUACUGUUAGUAUAACAACUUUUAAAAAAUCUUUUUAACUAAAAAUUCAGUGGUUCGGUCACAUAAUUAAAUACACUUUUAUUAAGUAACUUGAAGAGCUACCACCCAUAAAACUGUUUCUAUGGAAAGCUUAUUAUUAUUAUUGUUAUUAUUUAGGGCUGCACCUGUGGCAUAUGGAAGUUCCCAGGCCAGGGGACAAAUUGGAGUUGCAGCUUCCAGCCUACACCACAGCCAUAGCCAUGGCAACACAGGCUCCAAACAGCAUCUGUGACCUACACUGCAGCUUGUGGGAACGCUGGAUAAUUUUUUUUUUUUUUUGGUCUUUUUGCCUUUUCUAGGGCUGCUCCUGCGGCAUAUGGAGGUUCCCAGGCCAGGGCUAAAUUGGAGCUACAGCUGCGGCCUUCGCCACAGCCACAGCAAUGCCAGGUCUGAGCUGCAUCUGCAACCUACACCAAAGCUCAUGGCAAUACCAGAUCCUUAACCAACUGAGCAAAGCCAGGGAUCGAACCCUUGUCCUCAUGGAUGCUAGUCGGGUUCAUUACAGCUGAGUCAUGACAGGACUCAGAUAAUUCAUGCUUUUAAUUCAAUAAGUGAGGAUAUACAACAGUGACUUCCAAACCUAUGCACCACCUGAGGGCCUUCCACAAAAACAUUCCUGAUUCAAUAAAAUAUGAAAAAAAAUCAUGGCACUUAUAAUUCUAAUGGAAAUUUGAAUACUGAGUGCAUAUUUAAUGGUAGAGUAAUUACUGAUGUUUUAAGAAUAAUAGUGAUAUUGUGGUAAAGUUUUAAAAAGUCUUUUAGUGAUCCAUACUGAAACAGUAUGGUUUCCAUGAGGUCUGGGAUUUGCUUCAAUGUAUCACUGAAGAGGGGACAAUGUUGCAGAAGGGGCAUAAACUAAACAAGAUUGGCCAUGAGUGAAUAGCUAGAUGAUGGGCACAUGGGAUUCAUUAUACUAUUCUGUCUUCUUUGGGAAUGUUUGAAAUUUUCCAUAAGAAAAAUAUUCUCCAAAACAUACUCUAGAGUAUGUUAAUAGGGGAGAAGGGGAGUGAUCUUGUUGAUCACAGCUCAUAUCCUGGGAAUAUAUACUCUCUUUAGGAGCAAAGUAUCUGAUUGAUUUACACAAAGUGCAUUUAACAACCCAAAGCAGAAUUUUUGCAGUACGAAGGAAAAUCUAAUGUCUCAAAGUACAAAAUUUCUUUCAAUUCUAGAUUUCAAAUAAAAUAAAUCACAUUCCAAGAGGAUGCAGGUUUGAUCCCUGUCCUUGCUGUGGGUUAAGGAUCUGGCGUUGCCGUGAGCUGUGGUGUAAGUUGUAGACGCAGCUCGGAUGCUGUGAUGCUGUGUCUGUGGUGUAAGCCAGCAGCUAUAGCUCUGAUUCGACCCCUAGCCUGGGAACCUCCAUAUGCUGUAGGUGUGGCCCUAAAAAGGAAAAUAAAUACAUCAAUCAAUCAAUCAAUCACAUUAGAAGUUGUACCUCUAUGACUCUACCUCAUGUCACUCUGUCCCCAAGUCAGUACAAUCCAGCCACAUCGACCCCUUGCUUCCUCAAACAUGCCAAGCUCUUUUGUGCUUAAAGGCCAUGGUUUAGCCAUGUGCUUUGUCAAAGAACGCUCUUCCCCUAUUACCCCAUGGCUGGCUUCUUCAUUCAUAUCUCAACUUCCCCAGUGUUGCCUCUUCAGGAGGGCCUUCCCUGGCACUCCAUCUUCUGUACCCUCACCCCUUACAAUAACUCCCUGUGACCUUUAGCUCCUAUUUCAGAGCACUUAUCACCAAGUGAAACUGCCUUAUUUGUCUACUAAUUUACUGUCUGUUUCCUUUAUUAGGAAUAUAAGAUCUCUGACUGUGGAGCUCUUGUCCAUCUUGUUCAUGGAUGCCCCCUGACCCUUACGUCAGUGUCUGGCCAAAACAGGGACUCAGGACAGAACUUUGAAUACAUGAACUAUGUACAUUUGGAAGGGUACCUUCUUGCACCCCUACAUUAUAUCAGGUACUGCAAAUGCAAAUAUCACAGAGCUCAGAUGGGUGCUAAGUGCAUUGGGCCUUAGAGAAAAAUGGAGACCACCUGAACUGGUCUGAAGGAGGCAGCCGCUCUUGAGCUUGACCUACUACUGCCAGGCUACAGGGAAGAUCUAGAGUAGUCAGAUCUUCCCGUUACUGGGAUGCCAAAUAGAUGAGAUGACAUCCAUUUUUCAUUUCUUCACUUUUUUGCUUUUCACUUUUAUGGCUGCACCAGCAACAUAUGGAAGUUCCCAGACUAGGGGUCGAAUUGGAGCUGCAGGUUCAGACCUAUGCCACAGCCACCGCAAUACCGGAUCCAAGCUGUAUCUGGGACCCAUGCCGCAGCUUGCAGCAAUGUAGGAUCCUUACCCCACUGAGCGAGGCCAGGGAUCGAGCCCAUAUCCUCAAAGAAACAACGCUGGGUCCUUAACCCACUGAGCUACAAUGGGAACUCCUAAUCUCUUCACUUUCAAUUGUUAGCAACUAAUUUGAAAAAAAUUUAAAUAGCAUGUGAAUCACCAGUUUGCAAGCUCUGCUUAUCCAGAUCAGACAAUUCAGAGAAGAGUUAAGAGAUACUGAGAAAAGAUAUUGAGAAGAUUGCACCCAAGAGUAUUGUUUGUAAUGGUGAAAAAUGGGAAACAACCUAAACAUCCAUCACUAUGGGAAUUCUCAAAUAAUGUGUGGUAAGCCUAUUUGAUUAGAAUACUAUAUAGUUAAGACAAGUGAAGUCUAGCCAUCUGUAUCAGUGUGCAUAGAUCUCAAAAACAUAGAACUGGGUGAGAAGGCAAGUUGUAGAUCAAUACACAAAACAUAAUAGCAUAAAACUUCAAAAGUUCAAAGUUAUUCUAUAUAUAGUUUACAAAUACUUAGUAAUAAUGAAAGUAUACGAACCUAGAUUAGCAAAAUGCAUUUCAAACAUAAGACCAGAGUUGCCCCUCCGAAGGAGAGUGGCAUUGAAAAUAGGUGGCACCUACUUUAUUCAAAUAACCUAUUUCUUUCAUUUAAAGAUAUAAAAUGACAAAAUGUAACAUCCGUUCAUUCUGGACAGUGGGUGAGUGAAUGUUUACUCUGUUUUUCUUUUUAAAACAUUUCAGAAUUUUAAAAUAUGGAAAGGGUGGCAGUAGAAGAACAUAUACUAGAAACCAAGGCAACUGCGUUCGUCUUUGCUCUGUCUCUUUGGCAUUAAUAUAACCUCUAAUACUGUUUCCUCAUUAGCAAAUGAGGAGAAAGUAUGUGGUUCUCUCCAGUCUCUUCAAUCUGUCAGUGAACCUAAAACUUUCCACCCGCAACCCGGAUACAGGAAAGGCUAGCCAAACUAGGGAAUGAUACAUGGAUUCUCCCCCCGUUAGGAAAGUUCGAUCUCUCUCAAACGUCAAUUACUUCUCCAAAGGCGGUACGUGUAGUGAAGUGUCUUGGCGACAGAGAGACCUGGAUUUAUUAGCAGUUCUGACUUUCAGAGUCCUCACUUCUAAAACGGGUAUUUCUCACACCCAGCUUAUAGAUUGUAGUGAGAUAACUUCUUUCAAGCGCCUAAACGGUACCUAUAUAGCAGCAGUAAGAGAAUUUCAUUUAGGGGCUCUGCAUCGGGAUCGCUAAACAGAAUCAGUUUUUCACGCUGGCUUCCAAGACAAAAGUAGGUUACCUUGCCAAAUGCCGGCGAAGUGUCAGAAACUCUCCGGGAUAGUUGCUAUGGCGACACUCUGGUUCC